AGUCAAGUAAUUAAGUGCAUGUGGUGGAUGCCUUGGCAGUCAGAGGCGAUGAAAGACGUGAUAGCCUGCGAAAAGCUCCGGGGAGGCGGCAAAUAUCCUUUGAUCCGGAGAUGUCUGAAUGGGGGAACCCACCUACUUUAAGGUAGGUAUUGCAACAUGAAUACAUAGUGUUGCAAGGCGAACGAGGGGAAGUGAAACAUCUCAGUACCCUUAGGAAAAGAAAUCAAUUGAGAUUCCCUCAGUAGCGGCGAGCGAACGGGGAUCAGCCCAUUAAGUUAUGUGUGUUUUAGUGGAACGCUCUGGGAAGUGCGAACGUAGAGGGUGAUAUUCCCGUACACGAAAGGGCACACAUAAUGAUGACGAGUAGGGCGAGGCACGUGAAACCUUGUCUGAAUAUGGGGGGACCAUCCUCCAAGGCUAAAUACUCCUGACUGACCGAUAGUGAACCAGUACCGUGAGGGAAAGGCGAAAAGAACCCCUGUGAGGGGAGUGAAAUAGAUCCUGAAACCGCAUGCAUACAAGCAGUGGGAGCACCUUCGUGGUGUGACUGCGUACCUUUUGUAUAAUGGGUCAGCGACUUAUAUUCAGUAGCGAGGUUAACCGUAUAGGGGAGCCGUAGAGAAAUCGAGUCUUAAUAGGGCGUUUAGUUGCUGGGUAUAGACCCGAAACCAGGCGAUCUAUCCAUGAGCAGGUUGAAGGUUGGGUAACACUAACUGGAGGACCGAACCCACUGUCGUUGAAAAGCCAGGGGAUGACUUGUGGAUAGGGGUGAAAGGCUAAUCAAGCCUGGUGAUAGCUGGUUCUCCCCGAAAGCUAUUUAGGUAGCGCCUCGGACGAAUACCAUAGGGGGUAGAGCACUGUUUCGGCUAGGGGGUCAUCCCGACUUACCAAACCGAUGCAAACUCCGAAUACCUAUGAGUACUAUCCGGGAGACAGACUGCGGGUGCUAACGUCCGUAGUCAAGAGGAAAACAAUCCAGACCGCCAGCUAAGGCCCCAAAAUCAUAGUUAAGUGGGAAACGAUGUGGGAAGGCAUAGACAGCUAGGAGGUUGGCUUAGAAGCAGCCACCCUUUAAAGAAAGCGUAAUAGCUCACUAGUCGAGUCGGCCUGCGCGGAAGAUGUAACGGGGCUAAAACUAUGUGCCGAAGCUGCGGAU
rnacentral:rRNA from 1 species